GGGGAUUUAGCUCAGUGGUAGAGCGUUUGCCUAGCAAGCACAAGGCCCUGGGUUCGGUCCCCAGCUUCG
rnacentral:tRNA from 1 species